AUAAGGCAAUAGCUAUGCAAGACAGACUCUCUUCUCUCUGUGAUGUUGAGGAGCUGACAGGUCAGCUGGGAUCUUUUAUGCUUCUUCCCUGCUCCCUCACCCUUUACCUCACAUAGUUGGGAAUGGGGAGAAGAAGCAGCUAAGAAAAAUGGAGCAGGAUGGAAGUGGGAUAGGGUGGGUGAGGGAGGGAUUGUGGGGUAUAUAGGGGGGCACUUGCUUAUGCUGCAGGCAGGAAUGAGUCUUUUUUUAUUUCUUGUUUGCUAUAUUUACUCUCCAUCCUCAAAAACAAUCACCAAACUGGAAACUUCCCCAUUAUUGUUGAAUCCUGUGUGUGCUUACUCAGAAGUAGGUCGCACUGUAGUCAAUGAGGCUUACUCCUGGGUAACAUAUGUAGGAGUGUAGCCUCAAUCUGGGUGGGGGUUCUGUUUGCUAGCUCUCAGCUUUCCUCCAAGGAGCCCAGGUUUCUUCCCAUCCCCAAUUUAUAUUAGCAGUAACCCUGUGAGGUAGGUUACGCUCAGAGACAGUGACUAGCCCAAGGUCACUCAGUAAGCUUCUCUCCCAGAUCCCAGCCCACUUACCGUAAUACCCUUACUCCACAUUGUUGAAAAGAAGGGUAGGGUGGGGUGAAGAUAUUCUUCCCCCCUUAAAAAUACUCCGUAGCACCUUAAGAGCAGCCAAUUUAGGCUGCAAUCGUGUACAUACUAACCAGGGUCAGGGAAUAAGCCCUGUGGAAUUCAGUGGUGCUUAUGUCAGAGUGAACAUUGUGGCAUAAACCCACUCCUGCCCAUAUUAGGCUAUGUUACACAAAAUUUGUUUGUUAGUUGUUAGUGUAACAUUGAUGGACAGGAAUGCCACCUCUGAAAUAUAUUGUGCAGGAGUGCAACCCUACAAACACCUACUCAGAAUUAAGCCUCAUUGAGUUAAAUGAGAAAGUUUAUAAGACUGCAGGUGAAGUUCCACCUCUGUCAGGAAUUCACUUUGAGGCGAAGAAAUUAAGAGAAAUGAACUUUUUCUGGAUGCAUUGAAACAAUGUGGGGGGCAACACAUUUCUAGACUAAGUUUCCAAUGACAAGAGAGGGAGUAACAUUGAUUCUGACGGUUGUACUUUUGAUAUGUGCAUUUUCUGUAUACCUCCAAGGUACUCCCUGUGGCAUGCGUGGUCCUCCCCCUCGUCAUUCAUAACCACAAGAGCACUGUGGGGCAGGACAGGCUGCAAUGCCUUGUGGUAGGACUGCAUGCUUUCAACUUUUCAUCCAAAGCUCCUUUUUAACAGUGCUCACAGCAUUACAUCUCCACAUGUACUGUGUUGAAUAUGCAUGGCAUAUCAAAGAUGAUUCCUCUUCUUUGAUUUUUUUCUGAUUGAUUAUGCUGUGUCUAUUUAUAUGGGUCAUGUAUGUGACAACCUUGUUACCUUGGCAUAUAAGCUCUACAAUGUGCCAUUUUUGUACACGAUAUGCACACUUGCUUAAUAUAGAGAUGAACUACAGUUAAAUGAUUAUGAAAGGCUUUUUUUGAGAAAUUGAAUUUAUUUUUUAAAAAACAGUAUUUACUUCAAUAGGGCAGCCUUUCAUUUGCUAUUCUGUCUUUGGCUUACAUUAGUGCUUUUCUAUUUGGUUCAACAUGAUAAUAAGGUAUUGUUAGGCCAGUCCUAGAUUACCUUCUAUUAUCUCAGCACAGCAGGUGAAGCAGAAAAUCCUUGUGGAGAACUGAAGUAAGUUAUGUUUAUGCAAAGUACCUCCCCCACCCAAAGAUAUUUGGAGAUGACAGUAAAGGAUGGAUUCUAUCACCUAACAUACACAUUUUUUGACUGUGAAAACACUGAAGUGGAGAACUGAGUCAACAGAAACAAGCAAAACUGAGAAUAGUUUCUCAAUAGUUUGUGCAAUCUGUAGAAAAUUCAGUCUAUUAAUAUAAUCUGCCUAUAAAUAGCAUUAGUAUACCAUAAUGAAUCCUUUGGAGCUGAGCUGAGGCAUACAAAAUAAGUGGAUUUACCCCCAACAAAUUCAAAUGUAUAUAUAUUUUCCUCUGGCAAAAGGGGGUUGCCAUAUUGGUCAAGAUUUCUAUCCCUUUAUAGGUGUGGGGCCCUGAGGGAGGAGGGGUGUGGUUUGAGGAAGAAAGGGAAGGGGCAAGAGGGGCAAGAGCCCAAGGAAGCUGCAGUCUGCCCUGCCAAUAGAGUACUGGUACCUUUUAAUGCAGCCACUGGGUUUUUUAGGCAGUGGGGUUUCAGGCUGUGGGAGAUUCUUUGGGGGAAGGUUCUCAUAUCCUGUUUGGAGUUUGGUGGCAGAGGGUUCAGGAGUGAGACGCAGACUCUGGCGCCAACAGAUCCACAUGCUGAGAGCCAGGGCAUGAAUACAUCUCCCACUCAGGUCUCCCAUUAUAGGAUUCUGCAGCUGACAAUUUCUGAUCUGCGGCCACGAUGUCUGUGGAUGGACUUAAUUGCUAAAGCAUUCAUGUGGCACAAAAGGUAGCCUGCCCCUUGGUUUUGUUCCCACACAUUGAUCUUUUAGCCUUUCUUCUAGAGACCUUUAAAAGAAUGCUAAAUCUCUGACAUUUCAAGUCAGACUCUUGGACCGAAAAGAAAAGGCCUUCUGGUCCAGGACAAAAAGCAAUGCUUUAAAUUUUUUGAAAUGAAAAGCACUGCAAAGUACACAAAUGCCCAUCAGCCAAAACGGCUGCACAAAAUAUUCACUUAAUUCAACAUUCUCCUAGCAAUUAGCAUACUCUGCCCUUCUCAGCUAACUUCAAAAAGGCUCAUUUUGCCAAAUUGCCAAAUUGCUGCUUCUUUGCCUUCACUUUUCCCAACCUCUUUUGCCCUCACUGCCCUUAACUUGUCUAGCUGUGGCGACCUUGUGAUUUUGUUUUUGAAUUACCACGAAAUCACCAUGUCAGACAGAGCAUUUUUUUGGUGGCGGAGUGAAGAUAUAGCAGGUAGAGAAGAUCCCUCACUCACCUUUGAUGGAGACAAAGACAGAGUUGGCAUCCCCAGGGGGGGAAAUAGGUGAAAACAUGUUGGCCACAUGGAAGAGUAUUGGAAGGGUAUUGCUGACAUCUGUCUGUCUUGGGAAUCAAUCAAGGCAUAUGCCUUUGGGGGUGAAAUCAAACUGUUGGAGAGUUACAGCUCCUGUUGUGGUUGUGGAGUAGAAGCUGUUUUAUAGUGUUUGGGGUAGAAAUCGAAUGACAACUACAAUAACUACCACUGCUACUAAUAGAUAAAGAACAAUGCAUAGGAGCUACACAUAUUGCAAAUUAGUUGACUAGCAAGCAAGGAUAUGCCUUGAUUCUAUUGAAACCAUUCCUUUAGUCUUCCUUUAAAAAGCUUGCUGGGUUGCUGCUUUGAGGCAAGGUACACUUGUGUGUGUGUGUGUGUUUUAAUGACACAAGACCGCAGACUAUUACAAGUCUGAGACAUCACUCACAAUUAACACAUUCUCAUUAGAACUUGGUGAUUGCUCCCUUUGGGUGGGCAGACAGGCAGGGAAGCAGGCAAGUGGCUGUCUUUAAAACUAAUGACAAAGCUGCUUUGUUAAUUAGCCGGCAGGGGGUGGCCAAUUUCCUGUCUGCCUAUAAACCAGACACUGAGUGCAGCAUCAUUUCUAUGAAGUGUGCUGCCUCUGAUGUAUUGGAUGUUUUAAGAGCUAUGGUUUUCCAGAUUGGGGACUUUCUUCCAGUAAUCUAAAGCGCUACUGCUGUUGCAUUUGCAAAUUAUUUUCUUCCUAUUAAAUCCCUAGUAAAAGGGCAGAGAGUACCAUCAAUGCAAGCUUCUCUAUAAAGCUAUGUACUUUUUCUCAUUGCACUGUCUCGUCAUCACAUCUAGAGAAAUGAGUGGGCAUAGAAAAACUAUUGUUCUCCCUGCCCCCUUUCCUUUUUCUGAAUAAAAAUCUAACACAUUUAUAGAACUAAAAAGAAUUUCAUCCAGACACACCAAUUUUCUUUCACUCCCUUGUAUACGCAAUCAUGUUCCUUAGCUCUUUUGUACUCAGGUGCCAUUUUUUCACUGUUAUAAAGGGGCUCCUGAGAGGGCCUGAAAUAAUUACACAUCACAUUUAAAGAAAAAUAAUUUGAAAAACCUCAGGAAGAGGCUAGAUUCAAAAUGACCAAUCAGAAAGCCUCAAAAGAAAUGCCUGAUGACGCCUUCCUUUCAGUUCUAAGGAAACAUUUCUCAAAAGAAAGGCCAUCAUUAAACUCAGAGCAUAAAACAUUUGGGUGGAAAGGAGGAGGAGGGAAACACUAAGCUGUUUAGCAAUCUGGCUUCAUCUCAGCUGAAAAGAUAUUGGUGGUCAGCAGGUCCAAGCAUUCUUCACCUAUUGUUGACCACCUGACGUUAUGAGAUCCCCAGAAGACAAGCCACUCGCUUAGGAAACGGGAGCAGAAGGUCACAGCCACCUCUACAAGUGGGGGCGGGAUGUUCCACCAAGAGCCAUGCAAAAUGCCAUCAAUUAAAAUUCAUUAGUCCAGAAGGAGUGUUGAGUGUGCACAGAUGCUGCUAUUACAAGUGUAACACCAGUAAUUAGGAAGCAAAAGGAGGACUUCACAGCCUAUACAAUCUCUCUGUGCUUUCAUAUGCUUUGCCAUAACUUAAAUUUUGGUAGAUUUCCCCUCCUUUGAUCACAGAUAAGGCUGAGUGAAGUCUUACCUCAUGCCAGUUUUCUUUUUGCGUAUAAAUCAAAAAAGCUAUUCCCCCCUUUCAGCAUGUAAGCAUGCAUUUGUUAGACUUCUCUGCACCACUUUUUCUGCUUCUUCUUUGCUAUUUUUAAAAACUUUAAUUUUUCAGUGUCUGAAAGUACUUAUAAGAAACAAUUCCCAUAUAUCCCCACCCCAAGAAGCAUUCCAUGCAUGUACAAUGUAAAUGAUACAGUAUAAAAUUAAGCAGGUUUAUAUAAUAGUUUAGAGUUGAUUAUGUCAGUUAAGUGUCUUCUCUCCACCUUGACAGAUUGUCUCAGAGUCAGCCGUGGGCAGUUGCUGAUGCUCAGAACUGACUUGCUGUGAUGCCAUUUGAUCCAAUGGGCUGAGGUCACCCAUGUGACUAGGUUGAUGACAUCAUGUAGAUAUAUCUGUCGUGACUGUGUCAUAAUGCUACGUCUGGUUGAUGUUGUAAUAGACACUCAUGGACAAAAUCCCAAGCGACUUCACAGACAAUAGGAUUAAACAGCUCUCUGGGCAAUGAGGCCAAGAGCAAAGAAAGCAAAGAAAAGGAAGGAAAGUGAUGCCAUGAAGCAGAUACAGAAAAUCUAAAAGGUGCUGAAAAACAUAAAAACAAGGUGAAUAAUCCCCCGUCCCGCUGCCUGUAAUUUAACUGACUGCUUCAAAUAUGCUAAUUUGAAAGUGAAUGCCAAACCUAGAGAAUAUUCAGUGCACCUUCAGCCAGAAGAAAUAUUUCCUGCCUUCUUUAACAAGUUCCUGGACUUCUGCUUUCUAAUUUGGUUUAAGGCGCAUAGCAAAAAUCAAUGAGAUUACUGGAUGGCAAGAAAAGUCCUGGGCUAUUAAAAGUGCAUUUAGUAAUGAUAGAUGUCAAUAUUUAGUCAAGGAAAAAAAAUUAAAGCCCAUUUUAUUCUUAAUACAUUUUCAUGUGGCCUGUCAUAGCUGACAGAUGGCUUAUCUCUUGGAGUACAUCUGCAGUGUUCUGAAAUAAAUAGACUGCUGUCUUCAGGCUAGCUGGUGAAAAGUGCACAGCACCCAGAGCCAGAAAUAAAGAGGCAAGACACAAGUAAGUGGGUUGAACGAGGACUACAAUUUUUUAAACUUCAAGGCAGAUAUGAUGAGAGAUUGCGUGGGAUGCUAGCUCUUCAUGGAUUAGUCCCACAGCUGGCCUGGUCAACUAACUGAGAUGGCCUGCUGGCAUGACUUGGCUCCCUCUAGAAACUGCAACUGUAAGUUACAGGUUCACAUAGCAGGAAGACAUAACUUCUUGUUAGGUAGAUUUUAUCACGUUGGGCCUCCUUCAGUCUUGUUCCAGUUCUUCCAGACUUCCGAGUGUCCUGCUAGCACCCUUGUCAGCCAAGGUGAUGUUUCUGGGCACCUUCCCAUACUCAUGCUGCCACCGGUAUUUCCCGCUGUCUACCUUCUGGCAAAAAGACACGACACAAGAAGAAAGCAAGACAUGAACAAAAUGGCCACAGCCAGUCAGUUGACGUAUCACAGUUAAAGGCCAACCCAAAAGACGGAACAUCUCACAGGAUGUGAAAAACAUGCCAGCCAUAUGGCCAGUCAGGGAUGACACCAAAAUACCUUCCUGACUCACUGAAAGAGCCAACAGCCAGUCUGCUCCUUUAUUCAAGUGUGGGGGUAGAUUUGCCUGCCUGAUUGCCCUGCCUGUAGCUAAAUAUAAGUGUGGGCCAUGCCUUUCUCCCACAGUCUUAUGAGACCUUCAAACCAAACCUCAGAUCUUGCAAAACUGAAAGCAAUAUGCCUGUAACUUCACAGUGUAAGUAAGAUCUUUUGGGCUGGGUGGUCCUAGGUAGCAGUGAGAAAAUGAAGAGAACAGACAUCAAUAGGUGGGAUUAGACAUAACAAAGGUCUUAUAUAUUCUGCACUCUCGCAUCCGGGAGAUGAGGAGAUGGCCAGUCCUAGAGAGGGUUGUGCUUCCCUGGAAGGAGCAUGUGUGCAGCUUGAGGGUGCUCCUGGCCUCAACACUGCCAAUGAAGGCUCAGGUGGCCAUGGUAGCUGGGAGUGCCUUUUUCCAGCUAAGGCCCCUUGUUGGACAGAAAUGACUUGGCUACUGCACUCCAUGCUCUGGUACCUUCCAGACUGCAUUAUUGUUAUGUGCUCUGCAUGGGGCUACACUUGAAGAUGACUUGGAAACUUCAAUUGGUCCAAAAUGCAGUGGCCAGAUUACUAGCUGUGGUUCAUUUUGAUGCCAAACUUCCCACAACAAUUUGGAUCCCAUAUAAUCCCUGUUUUAAAACAGCUGCGUUGGUUGUUGGUUUGUUUCUGAGCUCAAUUCAAGGUACUCACAUUGGUGUUUAAAUCCUUAAAAUGACUCAGUCCCCACCUAUCUGAAAGACAACCUCCAUUCCUACAGACCCUCUCAGGUGUUAGGAUUAGCAGAGGGGCCCCUCUUGGUAGUUCCCCCAUCCUCCAAAGCUCAGGGGAUGGUGACCUAGGAGAAGGCAUUCUCUGUGGCAGCUCCUAAAUUAUAGAACUUCUGCCCCACAGAAUUGUGCCCGGAGUCUUCAUUCUACAGUUUUCGGCAAAUACUGAAGAUGCACCUCCUUAUCGUGGCCUUUGAGACCUGGGAUAGACAGUUGCAAUCGAAAUUAUUAAACCCCUCUAGCAAAUCAGGUUUAUUAUCAAAAUUUACAGACUGUCAGCUGUUUGCAAUGAGCAAACAAAACAAAAACAAUUGAAAUAGCUCAACAUAAUGGAUGCUUCAAGUGGUUUCCCCAAAUUCAGCUGAAAAUGCAACUUAUACUGGCUUCCCUGGUCUCACUAUUAUUCAACCCGCUGAACAGAAUCCCUCACAACAGCACAGAUACCACAAGUGGUGUCUCAAGCAUACCUGAUGCAACUAAUCAAGGGCUUCAAUAGUUGUGCUUGAGCUGCAACAAUGAAAUACCUGAACUGGCCAGGGGGUUGCUGAGUGUCAAAUUUAGAAAUGUUAGAAAUAUGGUUAAGUCAAGAGAAUGGUUCGAGAAGGUAAGAGAAGAGAUCAUUGCCCUUCACAAACAAGGAGCAGGAUACAAAAAAUAGUGAGGACACUGAAUGUUCCGAGAGACACUGUUGGAAGCAUAGUUUGCAAGUUCAAAGUUAAAGGAACAGUGGUUACACUACCUGGAUGGGGCAGAAGAAGGAAGCUAUCUGUGGCAGAAACCAGUUUUCUAUAUCUUUUCAGGACCCGUUCUGUUUUUAGUGAUAGCAUUUUAAAAUAAUUGUCUGUUUUUAAAAUGGUUUUUCAUGUUGUAUUUUGAAUUGGAACCUGAGGGUGAAGGAUGGGUAAUAAAUUAAAAUUAUGAACAACCACCACCACCAGAAUAUGUAAUAACUUUAUUCAUGACACAGCAUGUUCUCUACAUCUACUCCCUUGGUACCAAUUUGAAUAAUCUAUCCUGGUGAGGUGAUGUAUCUAGGAAGACUGACUGUGGUCCAGAUAGAGUCCAGUUGCUGUUGGGGGGGAGGUAGGACAGGGGUUGCAGGGGGGACAACCUCUCUCUCAUCCUGGGCUCAGCUGAGCUGUCAUCUCAAACAUGAUGACUGCAGGGAACUGAUAGGAUGAAAGUGGGGUUGGAGAAAGGGCUUUUCUCGGCCUUCAACCCACCUGCUGCCAUUUCCACCUGGCUAGGCAGGGCCACCACUCACUUCAAUCAGGGUGAGAGUGGUAGAGCGGCAGAUCCAAAACACUUCUCAGGCCAUCAGCUCAGUUCUCUGUAACUGACAACUAGCAGCUGUAUUUGAGAUGAUAUGGAGUGCUUUCUGUGCUGGUGUCUGUGAAGGCUAGCUACUUUCUGCCAUUUUGUGUUCAUGUUUUGGUAGGAUCCAACUCCUUUUUGAGAGCCCCCCCCCAAAAAAAAGAGAGUUAAUGAGCAUUGCCAUUCAAAUAAUGUGCAUGCACUGUGUCUUGUGAUCAAUUCUGUGGGGCAAGGCUUGCAUGAAUUUUAUUCAAGUUGGCACCACUGGCACUGAUGGUAAUAAAACACUGGCCAUUUGGGGGCUUUCCUGUGGUUGGUGUCUCUGGUGCUCCCACCAGUGUCACUUUUCCUCACCUGCCUGUUUGCAGCCAGAAGGGGGAGUUCUGGUAGUGGGCAAUGCUGGUGUCACUCUGCAGGUGGUGGCAAGUGGGAAGUGAAAUGAACCCAGUAGCUCAAAAGGUUCUGGACUGCUCUGCCAGACUUGAGGGAAGUUGCAGUGGUGCUAUCUUGCCUAGUCUGAUGCCCUUGAAAUUUUCUUCUCUUGCCUUGAAAUAGGCUUAGUUCUUCUUAACAGAUAUAGAACAUUGGUUCAUUUAAUAUUUCAGCAGCUACCAGUGUGAUAUGAGGGUGGGUUACCUCUGUUCCUCUGACUUCCUUCCCCCACUGCAGGAGAUGCCAUUCCCUCUAGGUUAGGCUAUGGAGUGAUAGGGGCUUUUCAGAGAGGGCAGCCCAGCAAGGCCCUGACAUACAAUUUUAUGUAUUUAGUUCUAGUGGAAAAGAAUCUUAGCUGAGCUACCUUUAAAAGAUAAGAAACAAUUCUCUUCAAAAUUACACUUUGAUUGAAGUGCAAAAGUUCAAAGCCAAAACCAGCUAAAUAUAUAGUGGAGAAAAUAGCACACAUUCCUUAGUAAUGAAAAGUAUAGCAAUUUAUUACAUGCUACAUUCGUCUAGUUUGACUUUCAUUUUUUAUAUAUAUCUAAAAGUUUUUAAAAAGGAAAAUUAUAGGUAUAUUUCAUUGAAGCAUAAAGAACUGCUGAAGGCUCAUUGCAAACUCUCACCCCGCAUGUGAAAUGAAAAAAGAGGAGGAAGCAGUGGAUUUAAGUAACUGCAGACAAUCGGUAUUGUAAAUAAUUGAAAAUGCAAGAUAUCAAUUAAGUUAAUUGCAAGUAGCCACAGGUACCUUAUCUUCGCCCAUAUUAAAAUGCAAAGCAAUUAUUGCAAAGUUGUGAUAAGAAAUGUACCCAAUAAAAUUCUAACUCCAGCCACAGAAAAGCUAACUUUUAUGGCACAGAGCAGAAGUUAAAGCUAUAGGGCACCAUCAGCUAAGAUGCUUCCCUGUGGAAGCUCCAUUGACAAGAAAGGGGGUUUCAUGAUUUCCAUAGAGGCCGGCAAAGGCAGCAGCAGGUGAGCCACACCUAUGGGGAAGAAACAUCUACAGCCUCUCAUGGAGCAUCUUGCACCCACAUCCUCCAUUUCUACUGCAGUGAACAGGUGACCUAGUAAGCAGAGUUACUGCGGUUGGUUGGUUGGAUGGAUCUUUUUAGCACACAUUUUAGAGCACAGCAAACUGUACAAGAUGUCUGCAUGCUCCACGUGGAAUGGAUGACGGCAGUAGGAAGGGACUUGCUUCUUGCUGCUCAUUGAGUCAAGUGCUCAAUUUCUGCUGCAGCAGAGAGGCAACCUGGGAAUAGAUGACAGGGGACACAGAAAGGGCUGAACUCCUCAAUGCCUUCUUUGCCUCAGUCUUCUCCGAUAAACAAAACAAUGCCCGACCUGAAGAAUUUGGAGCAAAUGAUUCAGCAGAGGAAACACAGCCCAGAAUAACUAAGGAGAUAGUACAAGAAUACUUGGCUAGUCUAGAUGUAUUCAAGUCUCCAGGGCCAGAUGAAUUGCAUCCAAGAGUAUUAAAAGAACUGGCAGAUGUGAUCUCAGAACCACUGGCAGUCAUCUUUGAGAAUUCCUGGAGAACAGGCGAAGUCCCGGCAGACUGGAGGAGGGCAAAUGUUGUCCCUAUUUUCAAAAGGGGAAAAGAGAGGACCCAAAUAAUUACCGCCCAGUCAGGUUAAGGGGUGAUAUGAUAGCCAUGUUCAAAUAUAUAAAAGGAUGUCACAUAGAGGAGGGAGAAAGGUUGUUUUCUGCUGCUCCAGAGAAGCGGACACGGAGCAAUGGAUCCAAACUACAAGAAAGAAGAUUCCACCUAAACAUUUUUUAAAAAAAUGAUAUUUAUUAAAAGUUUAAGAAUUACAGAAAAAAGAGAAAAAGAAAACAACAAAAAAAUUGACAAAGAUAAAAAGAAAAGCAUAAAAAACAAUACAACAAUACAGCAAAAAAACAAACAAACAAAAAACACAAUAACAUUAAAGCACACAUCCAAUGUUCCAUAUCUUUAUCUUUCAUUUACUUAUUUCAUCGACCUCCUCACACCUCCCUUUUUGUAUUCUAAUUUAAUUAAUUGUUUCAGCAGAUUCUUUCCAUCUUUCUCAAUUUUUAUUAUAUAAUUUAUCUUAAUGAUCUAACCUUUUAAUUAACUCAGCAAAUCCUUUCCAUCUUUCACUAUAUUCUGUCAUUCAAUUUACCUUAAUUUUUUUAACCUUAUCUUACCAUAAAAAAACAACAACCUUAAAACUUAAAACUUAAUGUACAUAACUCCUUAUAUCAUUUCUACUAAGGCCAAAUAGUUUCAUUCCAACAUUUUUCCUAAUACUCAUUAAUUUUACACUAAUUCUCAAAAUAAAUUUUUUAAAAACUUUCUUCCAAUCUUCAUCCAACGUCUCUUCUUCCUGGUCUUGGGUUUUGUCAGUCCUUCUUGUCCAUUCCAUCUAGUCCAUCAACCUGGUGAUCUUAUGUCCGAGGCUCUUAAGUCUUUUCCAUGUCCCUUCUGCAGAUCUUCUUCUUGUUUAUACCUGCACUUUACUUUGUCUUUUGUUGAUCUUUUUCUUAAUUUCUUUCCUUUCUCAUUGGGGGGUAGGUCUCGGGGGGACUCCAAUCCAAAAAUAUCUCCAUCUCUCCUCAGCAUAUCAGCCCAUUCCCCACAGUCCCAUUCCCCACAGUCGACACUGUAAUCCAGAAAGUAUUUAAAAGCAUGUUUCAAAGUCCUUCCAAAAUUAAGAGCCCUCACAACUCCAGGCCCCCCCUGGUCCACUCCAGAUUCAAACAUCAAGAACAGCGGCUUAUGCUCCUGCAAGGCCUCGGAUCUCUCCAUUUUUGUUACUUGAGGUUCAACAGCAACCUCCUCCAUUAUCUUCUGCACUUGCGCUUGCCCUGUCAAAACAAGUUCCUGGGCUGGUUCCUGAAUGGUUUCUAUAUGGGUAUUCGCCGUUUGUCCAAAGUUUUUAACUGCAACAGUCAUCAAAUCCAUCUUCUCAUGCAUCUGCUCCAGCAAGGCGCUUGUCUUGCAAAAAGCAAGCACCAAAACUUCUUGUAAACACAUUUUUAUUCAAGGUCAGAGUCUGGUCUCACAAUCCUAAUUUUACAGCUGUGAAAUCCCCAGAUCGACUCCGGCAACCAAUUAACAAGCUCCCUCUAGAGGAGACAAUUUCUAUUUGCAUCCAUCUUUUGAAAGCAGGACCAACAACAACAACAAAAAAAUUACUUUCAUUUUUCAAAUACUUUGUUUCUUUUGAAUGCGAGAAGCAACAUUGGAGUCAGUUUGUUUCUCUUUUUUUUACUAUCUGUCAAAAGACGUUCCAUUCACAGUCGAUGAACUUCCCCAUAAAUUUCUGUCUCUGGCAUCCCGUUCCCAGGUUUGAGACGGUGGAAAUUUAUCUUUCUUUGCUCUCUCUCUUGCAGGCUUAAACAGUCAAAAAUUCCCCCCCCCUUUUCUCCUGCUUCCAAGAGGGGUUUUGGUGGUAAUAUCUGAAGGAAAUUUAGACCUUUAUAUCCGACUUUCCAGACUUUAGCUUACAAAGUUUUUGCUUCAAUCUAUUUACAAAAAACGGGAGGUGGACUUCCUGUUUAGAGCCUUCCCGCUUCAGUGCCAAAUUAAAAUGUUUCCUAAUCCAAUUUUCUGUUCUACUCACGGGUACUUGUUUAGAGUCCAAUUGUCCACAGGAAAAAGUCAGCGCUCUCCGGCAACGGCUGUGCGGCUUCACUCCAUAAAAGUAGCGGUUGAUUCAAAACACCGCGCCACUCACCCCACGUCGCUUCGGAUCCCCGAAAAAGGGUUUCCCUGCGAGUAGGGGAGGCACUCCUGGUGUCAGCCGAAUCCCACGUUCCCAGGCUUCCUCUGCCUGGGAUUUUUAGAGGGUCUCCGCCUUCGCCGCGGCGGCAAAACUCGAUUUUCACGGAGCGGGUUCCUCCCGGUCAGAGGAACUCCGCCAUUGCCGAUGGCACUGACCCGGAAGUGGUUCCACCUAAACAUUAGGAAGAACUUCCUGACAGUAAGAGCUGUUCGACAGUGGAAUUUGCUGUCAAGGAGUGUGGUGGAAUCUCCUUCUUUGGAGGUCUUUAAGCAGAGGCUUGACAACCAUAUGUCAGGAGUGCUCUGAUGGUGUUUCCUGCUUGGCAGGGGGUUGGACUCGAUGGCCCUUGUGGUCUCUUCCAACUCUAUGAUUCUAUGUUCCUAGACUUUGUUAAACGGGAUGUUUUGAAUGCUGAGGCACCAACUAUAAGGGAUGAUUGCGGGCAGUUCGUGGUGUGGCACUGCUGGAUGGGCAUGUCCCUUUGGUGAGAAGAUACAGCAAUAAGGAAGGCCAAGAUGAGCUACUACACAAUAAUUAUUUCUUGUGGUGAAUAAUAAGCUUGGUAUAUGGGCUAGAUAGUAUACAUGACAAGAAGGUCAUUUUAUUUUUUCUCCUCUGGAGUUUAAGAGAAUAAGUGUGAUUUUGGUGCAUUUGGGAUGGCUGAGCAAAGGGUGAAGCGAUGAGCAACAUUCCCAUUGAUCCUGAUGGGAGUUCAUAACAUGUUACAGGGUGAAAUUGGUAAACCUGAUGAAUUUUUAAAACAAAAAUUUCUAGUUGCUGUGAAGAGGAAGAUUUAGGAUGUACAAAAAAUACACAGAAAAAUAAAGUUUGCGUGUUUUGAAAGAUAACAAAAGCUUUCAGAGUCAGGCCCAACCCCACAUCAAGUGCAGGAGCCCAAAGCGCCAGACAUGUGGCCUGCCAAGUGAGGCGAAUGCCAGGGCCCUCUGUGGCUGCCACUGGCCUACUUUUAUCUGUCUAGCACUGAGACACUUUGGAAGAGCAAGCCUUUAAGAGAGUGUUUGAAUUACACCACCCAUGUUGCCAAGUCAUGUGACCAAGUGAGAGGGACUUAAGAUCCACCUUAAGUUCCCCCUUUCUGGCCCCACCUCUGACACGCCCCUAGGUUAAAUUUACACAUACAGAGUAUUUUUAUUGUGCUCAGGGUUUUUAACAUAUCUGUGUGAAGAAGAAAAAUAACCCCUCACAAUUUUACAUUAGAAGGGUGAGACACGUGGUUUAAUAUCAUAAAUAAAUAGCCCUUGUUUCACACAAUGCAUCCCAAAGAAAACCAUGUCCUCUUUAGUGCAAAUGGGAAGGAAAGGCUUAAAUAGUCCCUCUUCGUGUGGAUGUUGGGGUCCCAAGUAAAGCUGCCAGCUCCCUCCCCGAUAUUGAUUUCAAAACACCCACACAGCCCUACCACCUAGGCAGCCCUUAAAUAUUAGUUCUAUAAAUUUUAUAGGGCAAAAUGGAAGUGUAGUACCCUGCUUGUGGUUCACGCUUAGCUGGAAUGAAAUAUUCAACGCAGCAAUAGAGAAAUUAAAAUAAUAAUUUAUUUGUCAGACAAAUAAAUGAUAGGCACAGUGGUAUAUGGUUACCAAAGCUCUGCCCCCCUCCAGCCCUGAUGGCCAGCACUUAUAUUUCCUCAGCCCAACCCCCUUGCUCCUCCUUUGGCUGCCUCUGUCCAAUCAGCCUGGUUGGAAUUCCUAUCGGCUGUUUGCUAGAACCAAUCAUAAAAGAUACACCCAUUUCCUAUUACCUUUUAUGGGAGACAAAGAGCUAUAUUUCCUUCUAUCCAUAAAUGGCAGACAAGUAGCCAUAUAUCUUACAUUUGCCUCGACAAGGCACCUUAAUUACCAGAUCACCUUUUGCCCCUGUUGCUCCUGCAUUCCAAAACAAAUGGCUAAAACAAAUGGCUCAUGGUAUUAAAUUAUAUCUAAACAGAGAUCUUGGGUUCACAUUCUCACACACCAUCAAUGAAAUAAGAAUCUAACAUAAGAAUCUAACAUUUCUUACUUUCUAAAUCCUUUGCAUAAUUACAUUAAGCCAACAAAUCUCAUAUAUAACAUAGAUAGCUUUUUAGAAGAAAAGGCCUUUGCAAAGUAAAAACAAGUGAACUUAAGGGUGAAACAAGUGAACUUAAGGGUCAGAGCCGUACCUGAAGUGGAGAAAGACAAUUUAGUUGAUUUUCUCACACAGGAAUUCAUAGAUUUUUGGAAUCCAGAAUUGGCAAAAGACAGCUUUAAAAUAGUGAAUGCUUUUAGACUUGGAAAAGGAGGAGGAAAGAAGGUGAGAGAUUGUUUGAUUACUCUCCGAACAAAAGAAGAGAGGGACAAGAUCUUGAGUUUGCAUUUCCAGAAGACACUGGAAAUACAACAGUCAAAAGUGGAGAUAUUUAAGGACAUUCCGAAACACCUUCUGGAUCUCAGAUCUAACUACAAAGACUUGGUUACCUUGUUGAGAAGUAAUAGAAUUAACUUUAGGUGGGAAUUUCCUCAAGGCCUAUCCUUCAGUUACAAAGGAAAGAAGAGGAAAAUAAGAUCGGAAGACGACAAAGACAAAUUUUGGGGAGACCACGGAGAAGACCUACAAAAGAAAGUUACAGGAGAGUUAAGAGCAAUUGUAAGAGAAACUUUAGACACACCAGGACUAUCUCUGGAACUAAAAGACCGCCUGAAAAACGUGAUACCACCGACGGAAGAGGAACAGGCACUAGGUGCUGUUGGAGGAGAAUUAAAAUAAUUACAUCAUGGCCCUGCAACUACUAAGCUGGAAUUGUAAUGGCCUCAAUUCCCCUCAGAAAAGGAAAUCUGUGUUUCAUUUAUUUAAAAAGGAACAAUUGGACUUGAUUUGUCUACAAGAAACACAUAUAACAAGAAUACACAGGAAAUUAUUGAUAAAUAAAAGACUUGGUCAGGAGUUUAUUUCAUCGGACAAAGUUAAAAAAAGAGGGGUUGUGAUUUAUGCAAAGGACAGACUAUCACCGAAAUUUAUUUUUAAAGAUGACCAAGGAAGAUUCAAACACAAGGAGAAAAAUUUUUGAUAGUAGGAAUUUACGCACCAAAUGAAGGGAAAUCUGAUUUUUUUAAGAAGUUGCAUGAGACUUUGAUGGACUAUUUGGAUUACAACAUGAUUUUGGUGGGAGACAUGAAUGGAGUGGUAUCUACACAUAUGGACAAGGCACAAAGACAGGUAGUCACUAAGGAUGGUAGACUAGCGAAAACUUUUUUUGACAUGACAGACAACUUGGAUUUAGUCGACAUUUGGAGAAUAAGAAACCCCAUGGCUAAAGAGGGAACCUUCUUUUCUGAAGCCAAAAUGACAUGGACAAGAAUUGACCAAAUAUGGAUAACUAGAGGAAUGGCACCAAAGACAAGAAAGGUGGAAAUCUGCCCGAAAACCUGCUCCGACCAUAAUGCUGUUAAGAUGGAAAUGAAAGUAACACCAACUGGCUCCUUUAGAUGGAGGAUGAAUGACACCUUAUUCAGGGAUGGAGAAGUGCUUAAGAAGGCCCAAAAAACCUUGAGAGAUUAUUUUGAGAUAAAAUUGAACACUAAUGUGGAAAAAAGAGUAAUCUGGGACGCAAGUAAAGCGGUUAUGAGAGGGUUCCUGAUACAACAGAAUGCAGUAAAGAAGAGAAUUCAAAAUGAGAAGAAGGAUAAGAUAUUGGAGAAAAUAAAGGAAAGUGAAAAAAGACUGAGAACAAAUCCAAAAUCUCAAGAGAUUUUGAGAGAAUUAAAGUUACAUCAAGUACAAUAUAUGAAAAUGAUGAAUCAGGAAAUAGAAUGGAAAAUUAAACAUAUGAGACAAAAGACAUUUGAGUCGGCUAACAAAUGCGGUAAACUGUUGGCUUGGCAAAUGAAAAAAAGACAAAAAUUAAAUACAGUCACGAACUUAGAAGUGGAAGGAAGGAAUAUACAGAAUCCAGCAGAGAUUAGAAAUUGUUUCCAGAGGUACUUUAAACAACUAUAUACACAAGGGCCACUGAAAGAAACUGAUCUAGAUCAAUUUUUGAAAACAAAUGGAUUACAAAAAAUCUCUCAAGAAAAUAAACUAAUGUUGAACUAUAAAAUUACUGAACAGGAGAUAGAAGGUGCCAUUCAAAAUAUGCAAUUGGGUAAGUCUCCAGGACCGGAUGGACUGACUUCUAGAUAUUACAGAUCCUUGAAAGAAUGGUUAAUACAACCUUUGAAAGAGGUCUGCAAUGAAAUAAUGGAGGGGAAAAGAGCACCAGAGUCGUGGAAAGAAGCAUAUAUUACACUUGUACCGAAAACAGAGACUGAAAAGACUCAGCUUAAGAACUACCGCCCAAUAUCAUUACUCAAUGUGGAUUACAAAAUUUUUGCAGACAUUUUGGCUAAGAGAUUUAAAAAAGUGCUGAUGGAAGAGAUUCAUAAAGAUCAAGCGGGCUUUCUCCCAGGAAGACAUUUGUCUGACAAUUUGAGGAAUAUAAUUGAUAUUCUGGAAAAACUAGAAGUGAAUAUAAAUACUAAAGCAGUUUUGAUAUUUGUGGACGCGGAGAAAGCUUUUGAUAAUAUUUCUUGGAGCUUUAUGAAGAAGAAUCUACAGGGUAUGGGGGUAGGCCAAGGCUUUGAGAAUGGUAUAAGUGCAAUUUAUUCAGAACAAAAGGCUAAAUUAAUUGUAAAUAAUGUGGUGACGGAAGAACUUAAAAUAGAAAAAGGGACACGACAAGGUUGCCCAAUUUCCCCACUUCUUUUUAUUUCGGUCCUGGAGGUUUUGCUGAACAUGAUUAGAAGGGACCAGUUGGUUAAAGGUAUACAGGUCGGAGCUAAACAGUACAAAUUGAGAGCAUUUGCAGAUGAUUUAGUAUUGACGUUACAGGAGCCAGAAUCUAGUACUAAAAGGGUUUUAGAACUGAUUCAAGAAUUUGGUCAAGUUGCAGGAUUUAAAUUGAACAAGUCAAAAACUAAGGUUUUAGAGAAAAAUCUAACACCAAUGGAGAGAGAGAGGUUUCAGAAUGUGACAGGUCUAACAGUGGUUAAGAAAGUUAAAUACCUGGGGAUUAACAUGACAGCAAAAAAAUGGGAAUUUAUUUAAAGAUAACUAUGAAAAAUGUUGGGCUGAAGUGAAAAAAGAUUUAGAAAUUUGGUCAAAUUUGAAGCUUUCACUGAUGGGCCGUAUUGCUGCGAUAAAAAUGAAUGUAUUGCCUAGAAUGUUGUUUCUGUUUCAAACUUUGCAAAUUGUGGACAAAAUGGAUUGUUUCAAGAGGUGGCAGAAAGAUAUUUCUAGAUUUGUCUGGCAGAGCAAGAAGCCCAGAAUAAAAUUUAAAAUACUAACGGAUGCAAUGGAAAGAGGUGGAUUUGCCCUGCCAGACCUCAAACUUUAUUAUGAAUCAGCAGCUUUUUGCUGGUUGAAAGAAUGGCUGCUUCUUGAAAACACUGACAUUUUGGACCUAGAAGGUGUUAACAAUGUAUUUGGAUGGCAUGCAUAUCUGUGGUAUGAUAAGGUCAAAGCACAUAAAGCAUUUAAAAAUCACAUUGUCAGGAAAGCACUGUUUAAUGUUUGGAUAAGAUACAAGGACUUAAUGGAAAACAAAACUCCAAGGUGGCUGUCACCAAUGGAAGCGAAAGCCUUGAAAAAGCUCAAUAUGGAGGUCAAAUGGCCGAAAUAUUGGGAAAUUUUGGAACAAGACGGAGAUAGACUGAAAUUGCAGAGUUUUGAAAAAUUAAAAAACAAAGUGCGAGACUGGCUUCAUUAUUUUCAGAUAAUGGGGGCAUUUAAUUUGGACAAGAAAAUUGGCUUCCAGGUGGAAAAAUCAAAAUUAGAAACUGAACUGUUAGAACCCAAAACUAAGAAUUUGUCAAGAAUGUAUAACUUGCUGCUGAAAUGGAACACUCAGGAUGAAACGGUGAAAUCUGCUAUGAUUAAAUGGGCACAAGACGUUGGACAUAACAUUAUGUUCGCUGACUGGGAACAGUUAUGGACCACAGGUAUGAAAUUUACGGCAUGUAAUGCCGUAAGAGAGAAUAUUAUGAAAAUGAUAUACAGGUGGUACAUAACCCCAGUCAAGCUUGCAAAAAUUUACCAUUUGCCUGAUAAUAAAUGUUGGAAAUGUAAGGAAAUCGAAGGUACAUUUUUUCACCUUUGGUGGACGUGCCCAAAGAUUAAGGCUUUCUGAGAAAUGAUAUAUAAUGAAUUAAAAAAGGUAUUUAAAUAUACCUUCUUGAAGAAACCAGAGGCCUUUCUCCUGGGCAUAGUCGGCCAAUCGGUGUUAAAAAAGGAUAGAACUUUUUUUAUGUAUGCAACAACAGCAACAAGAAUACUCAUCGCAAAGUAUUGGAAGACACAAGAGCUACCCACACUGGAGGAAUGGCAGAUGAAAUUGAUGGACUAUAUGGAAUUGGCGGAAAUGACUGGCAGAAUCCGUGACCAGGGAGAAGAGUUGGUGGAAGAAGAUUGGAAGAAAUUUAAAGAUUACCUACAGAAAUAUUGCAAAAUUAAAGAAUGUUAGAGUGAUGAUGAAUUGAAAUUAAGUGGUUUCUAGCUGUACAGGCUUUAAAGUUAUAUAUAGAUCAAGAUUAAGGAUUAGGACUAAAAAGGUUAAAAGAAUGGAAAAUUGGCUAUUAAUAGGUAAAAAUUUAAUGUUAUAUUAUAUUAAGAUCAAGGAUUGGGAUUAAAAAGGAGGGAAAGGAAUUGCUGGACAAACAAACUGAAUUUGGAAUACAAAAGAGGGAGGUAUGAGGAGGUCCAGAAAAUAAGUUAAUCUAAAAGUAGUGAUGAAAGGAUGGAAGUGUUUUUAACUGUUUUUUCUUUUUUUUUCUUUUUGUAUUUUGUAUACUGUAUUUUUCUUCUUAAUUUUAAUUUUUUUUUUCUUAUUGAUGUGUCUCUUUUUAUGCGAAACUUUAAUAAAUAUUUAAAAAAAAAAACAAACUUCAGGGCUUGAACUUCCGUUUCUUGGAACUCCUGGAAUGUUCAGCGGCAGGGAGGUCUCUCUUCAGAGUCCAACAGUAGUCAGCCAUCAUGACUGCGUCCCAGCGACCCUGAUACCUGGUCUCCAUCUCUUUCAUGUCCUGAUGGAAUCUCUCCCCUGCUCGUCACUCAUUGAACCCAGGUUCUCAGGAAACCGGUCCAUAUGUGAAAAUAGGUAGUGCAUCUUGACGCUCAUGUUGCAGCCCAGGUUUCUGAAAGCAGUCAGCAUGUUGUUGACAAGUUCUGCGUAGUUUCUGGCCUUAUUGUUGCCAAGAAAGUUCUUCACUACCAGAACAAAUGCCUUCCACGCUUCCAGUUCCACUUUGUUCAUUGAGUUUCCGAACUCUGGAUCUCUGAUGAGCAGACGGAUCUGAGGACCGUCAAAGAUGCCAGCUUUCAACUUCUCCAUGGUCAAUCCUGGAAAAGCCUGGCACAAGUAAGUGAAGCAGUCACCAUCCUUGUCCAGAGCCUUGGUGAACUGCUUGAUUAAGCCGAGCUUGAUGUGCAGCGGUGGGAAGAGUAUUCUAUCUCUGUCCACCAGAGGGUCGUUGAUGACGUUCCUUUUUCUGCAAGGCACCAAUUCCUCCCGCACAGGCCAGUCCUUCUUCGUGUAAUGCUGAGCACGGUCCCUACUAUCCCACAUGCACAGAAAACAUGGGUACUUGGUGAAGCCAGACUGUUGUCCCAACAAAAAGUUCACCAGCUUCAGGUCAACACAAAUAAACCACUUAUGAUCAUAACCAAUUUUCUCCAGCACAUACUUCACCACUUCAUAGUUCUCCUUCAGUGUACUCGAGUGAGCCAGGGGUAUAGAGGCAAACUGGUUGCCGUUGUGUAGCAGAACACAUUUCAGUGAUCGCUUGCUGCUGUCAAUGAACAGUCUCCAAUCUUUGGGUUCGUACUGUGGCACUCCAAGCUUGAGCAGAAGCUGCGCAAUAUCUGCACAGUACACCAAGUCCUUCUCUUCUGAGAAAAAACAGAGGUUUUAUGACUUCAAACUGAUCCCUUUUCGACAUAAUCACCCAGAACUAUCGGACCUGAAUACUUCUUGUCAUUAAAAUAAUCAUUUCCAAUCAAAACAAUUAUUCAACAUGGCAUUUUACCCCCACCAACUUCUUCUAAAAUGCUCCACACAAGCGUACAUGUGAACAAAAACGUAAAAAAACUACAUGUGGCCAUAGCUCAAAAACGUGACCUGAUUGAGCAAAACCAAUGUGAUUUUUUGAUUCAGCGCAUCAGAUUCAUCCUAAAUCAACUGAAAAAAUGCAGAUAACAAAUUUGUUGUUGACCAGCGUAAAUAAUGCCCUCAGAUUAGAUAUACUGGAAAUAUCAACUGAUUUCUUCUCGAGUUGCUAUGCCACUCUAAGGUAGAAUUAAAGUGGUUUAAUGCUCAUUUGUGCCAGUUAGUUCAGACAGACGCCAUCUGCACCAGGCAUUGGAAGCAGCGCUGCACCCUUUUAAACAGUCAUGGCACCCCAGGAAGAAUCCUGGAACUGCUGUUUGUGCAGCUUACUGAGAGAUGUUAGGAGACCCCGUUCUGAUCAGAGAACUACAAUUCCCAGAGUUCCCGGGGGAACGGGUUUGAUCAUUAAACCUCUCUUGGAAUUGUAGCUCCGAGGGAGAAUAUGGGCCUCCUAACAACUCUCUGCACCCUUACCAAACUAUAUUUCCCAGGAUUCUUUGGGGGAAGUAAGUAAUAAUGGUUAGAAACAGCAGUGCUUCUGCAUACCAGUUGCUGGAAACCACAGGAGGAGACAGGGCUCAGUGCUUGAAUCCUCUUGAGGCUUCUCACAGGCUUCACACUGUGGGAAUCGGACCCUGAACUAGAUGGGUCACUGGCCUGACCCAGCAGCUCUUCUGGCAUUCUUAUGACUGUUUAAAGUGGUGCUGCUUGAAAUGUAUUGUGCAGAUGGGACUUGAGUAACUUACACCUACUGACCCAGAAGCUAGUCCCACUGCAUUCAAUGGCACAAAGUAAGCUUGGAUGCAGGUGGCGCUGUGGUCUAAACCACAGAUCCUAGGGCCUGCCAAUCAGAAGGUCAGGGUUCGAAUCCCCGCAAUGGGGUGAGCUCCCAUUGUUCGGUCCCUGCUCCUGCCAACCUAGCAGUUCGAAAGAAUGUCAAAGUGCAAAUAGAUAAAUAGGUACUGCUCCAGCGGAAAGGUAAACGGUGUUUCCGUGCGCUGCUCUGGUUUCACCAGAAGCGGCUUAGUCAUGCCGGCCACAUGACCUGGAAAAACUAUCUGUAGACAAAACGUCUGCUCCCUCGGCCAGUAAAGCGAGAUGAGAGCCACAACCCCAGAGUUGUUCGGGACUGGACUUAGCUUUCAGGGGUCCUUUACCUUUACCUUUUAAGCUUUGUCAGAUGUAAAAACAAACAAGCAAAACCAAACAUACCAGAGACCACUGUAAAUCUAUCAUUAGACUUUAACAUACCCUCCAAGGAAUUUUAGGGGACACUGUAUUCAUGGCCAGAGACCAUCUGGUACUAUACCCAAAUGUUGCUAGCUCUUCAGCCAGGAGAUGGUUGCAAACCAUGGAAGUCCUUGGUCUGAACUUUGUGGCCAGAGGUGGGCUGUAGCUUUGAGUUAAGUGGGAUGAGGGAAGCUAAGAAGGUCCUGUCUGACCUUAUACAGCUACUGAGCUGUUCAUAGCCUUGUUGAUCCUGCAAAGCUUCUUGCGACAAUUGCUCUGCUUUAGAGAGCAUUCCUGGUGGCAGUGUGGGUGGGUGUUUUCCAUAGUGGAGCACAGUGGCAAACGUUUAUUUACCCACACUCUUUAAGGCUUCAUAGGUCACCACCAGCAACUUCAAUGCAAUGCAUAAUGCUAGGGGCAGCUGCUCCAAACACUGAAAUUCUCCCAUGGGCUGCACACCCCUGGCAUGUAGCGGGCUGCUGUGCUCUGCAUUAGUUGAAGCUCCAAAGUGUUAAGAAGGACAGCCCAAUGGAAAAAGCAUGUUGCGGUAGUAUGUUAGGUUUAUGCCUGUCUGAGCAUGUUUUACAUUGCCAUUUUCCCACUAAUUUGGUUUGUCCCUGGCUAAUUCAAAGCAUGAUGUUCUUUAAUAGGUUUCUGUUAUGGCUGCUGUUGGAGUCAGGGAUCUUUGAAGGAAUUAGAAUACAAACUGGGUAAAUAAUGUACCAUGUAGAUGACUUAGCAUGUAUUACAUAAAAUUUAAAUUUUGAAUGUAUUGCAAAGAGAAACUUACAGUAUUUCUCCUGUGAUCAUUCAUUUGCUUCUGGUUUGUUUAAACAGAAGAGGAAUCAGUAGGUAAAUAUGCAAUUAUAACUUUGUGUUGUGAGCUAGAGUGGUGUAAACAAUAGAUCUUUCUCAUGUCUAAGGGUUUGUUUCAGCAUUUUCUUCCCCUGGAUUCCUUUUCUGUAUAUUACUGGUUCAGCAAUUCUUUGCAGAGUUCAAUGAGCUUCAUUAGCUUAUCUAAAGAAAAUGGGACUAGUACUUUUGAGGCAGCCUCUCUGUGACUUUUCUAAUUAAAUUCCUUCCAUCAGACGACAAGUUGCCCUUUUUGCAUGACAAACAUUUGUUCUAAUUUGGCCUUCAUAGUAUUUGGCAGUUCUUUAACUCGCCUCCUGCCUGCCCCCCGCCGUCCCAUUGAACAGCAUCUGCUAGUCAGAGGGAUCACGCAGGCUGACAUUUACCCUCCGUGUACUUGCUUAUUAAAAUACCGCAAUACUAGAUAAAUUUAUCAGCUGAAUAGAAGUUAUAUUCUAUCCAUGACACAGAGCCUUUCCUAACACAAAUUACUAAUGCUUCAACGCAAAACUUUUGAUUUAUUUUUCGGUGUCGCUCCCUGAGCCUGGCACUGUGGAAGGGUUUGUCCUUCCCUCCUGUUUUGACUGGGAUGGGGCACACAGCUUUUGCUUUGCUCUCUUGGGAUGUGGGGGGACCCUGUUUUGGGAAAUGAGUAGGGAUUUUUUGGUAGGCCCAUGAUUGGCCAUGGGGCCUACCCUUCUUGCCUACUCUGUAUCGCUUUGCCUUAUUACUUCACUAAAAAGCCUCUUCCCAUGCAGUUCUGGCAGUAGCAGACCUUUCAGCAGUGCCUCGUACAAAGGCCACAUUGCCUAGUGGGCAUUCUUCCAGUUGCAAGCAUGACAAAAUGGGUGUGGCCUGAUGAAUACCACUCUCAAACCUCCAUCUAGGGAAUGGGAUUAUGAGAGUUCACAGCCACAAUCCAGGCACUGUAGGAAGAUGCAGCACAGGACCAGGCAGGACUGCAGCUUGGGGGAAGGGUGUGUUACUUGGGCAGUCCCAAGAGUCAGAUAGGGAGGCCUGCAAUGGGAAUUGUAAGUGAUGGGCCCACGAAGCCGGCAUUGCCUACAGUUCCAGUCACCUCACAGAGUCAGCUUAAGGUCCAAAAUAGUUUAGUGGCUGACCAUGCACCUGUUAGCUUAUCUCAUCCCUGGGGUAAUUUAAGCUCAUAAAGGAAAUGAAGCCCUUUCUCCAUGUCCAGUUCCUCCAACAGCCUGGAGGGCCACAUUCAGCCUCUGGGCCUGAUGUUCCCCAUCCCUGUACAACAGUAUCAUUGCAUUUUUUUCUGAAGCUCAUUCCUUUAUUUACUCACCCUCACAGGAAGGCUGUCCGUGGUGUCUCAAUGCAUGAUUCACUCCUCUGC
rnacentral:lncRNA from 1 species